CUUCGGGAACUCUGAGACAGGUGCUGCAUGGCUGUCGUCAGCUCGUGUUGUGAAAUGUUGGGUUAAGUCCCGCAACGAGCGCACAAAGGGGGCGAGCAUGUGGUUUAAUUCGAUGCAACGCGAAGAACCUUACCUACUCUUGACAUCCAGAGAACUUUCCAGAGAUGGAUUGGUGCCUUCGGGAACUCUGAGACAGGUGCUGCAUGGCUGUCGUCAGCUCGUGUUGUGAAAUGUUGGGUUAAGUCCCGCAACGAGCGCAACCCUUAUCCUUGUUUGCCAGCACUUCGGGUGGGAACUCCAGGGAGACUGCCGGUGAUAAACCGGAGGAAGGUGGGGACGACGUCAAGUCAUCAUGGCCCUUACGAGUAGGGCUACACACGUGCUACAAUGGCGCAUACAGAGGGCAGCCAACUUGCGAGAGUGAGCGAAUCCCAAAAAGUGCGUCGUAGUCCGGAUCGGAGUCUGCAACU
rnacentral:rRNA from 1 species